GGUGAGUAACGCGUAUCCAACCUGCCCACCACUUGGGGAUAACCUUGCGAAAGUAAGACUAAUACCCAAUGAUAUCUCUAGAAGACAUCUGAAAGAGAUUAAAGAUUUAUCGGUGAUGGAUGGGGAUGCGUCUGAUUAGCUUGUUGGCGGGGUAACGGCCCACCAAGGCUACGAUCAGUAGGGGUUCUGAGAGGAAGGUCCCCCACAUUGGAACUGAGACACGGUCCAAACUCCUACGGGAGGCAGCAGUGAGGAAUAUUGGUCAAUGGACGAGAGUCUGAACCAGCCAAGUAGCGUGCACGAUGACUGCUCUGUGGGUUGUAAACUGCUUUUAUAAGGGAAUAAAGUGAGUCUCGUGAGACUUUUUGCAUGUACCUUAUGAAUAAGGACCGGCUAAUUCCGUGCCAGCAGCCGACGGUAAUACGGAAGGUCCGGGCGUUAUCCGGAUUUAUUGGGUUAAAAAGGGAGCGUAGGCCGGAGAUUAAGCGUGUUGUGAAAUGUAGAUGCUCAACAUCUGCACUGCAGCGCGAACUGGUUUCCUUGAGUACGCACAAAGUGGGCGGAAUUCGUGGUGUAGCGGUGAAAUGCUUAGAUAUCACGAAGAACUCCGAUUGCGAAGGCAGCUCACUGGAGCGCAACUGACGCUGAAGCUCGAAAGUGCGGGUAUCGAACAGGAUUAGAUACCCUGGUAGUCCGCACGGUAAAC
rnacentral:rRNA from 1 species